CUUGAUAUGAUGAUAAGACACCACCACUCCUGAAGAAUGAAGACAGACAACAGUUUGUGUGUGGGCAGACAUUUCCUGAACCUCUGUCACUUAUAAAAAGCCGCCCCUCUUCCGCUCUCUAAAAACCAUUUCAUUUGAGCAUUACCACUCUCAGGGCUAAAUCUGAGUAUGCUUUUGGCUGUAGGAGCCUGUGAGGUGGUGUACUGGCAGAUGAACUAGAGCAUGAGAGCCUGCUGAGGGUGUGGUGCAGGCAGAGUUCCACGGACUCCUGCCAUGGCCUUACCUUCAGCCAAAGUGCACACAUAGAGGAUGGAGGCAAACUGACCCAGGGUCCAGACACCUUCACUGUGGAGGUGCUGGAGCCCAGCCAUGGAGAGGGAAUAUACUGAGGUGGUGUGCUGGACAAAAAUGACACCAUCAUCAAGCUGGCUGAAGGCUACUUCCACAGCUCCUUUCUAGCUUACAUCUGGAGCUUCACUUGCUGGAUUCUGCUGCCUCUGCUCCCCCUGGUGACCAUAUUCACUAACAUCUGCACCAGAAAAGGCAGAGGAGUCCUUUUAAGAUGUUGCUGUGAGCAGAGCUCUGGAGGAUUCAGAGUAUGUGAAUGCAGCAUCUUUCUGUGAGCUGGAAUGAUUAAAGGUGGUCUAUGUGGCAUCAUAUCCUGGCAGCCCUUAAC